rnacentral:rRNA from 1 species
UACGAAGGGGGCUAGCGUUGCUCGGAAUCACUGGGCGUAAAGCGCACGUAGGCGGCUUUUUAAGUCAGGGUGAAAUCCUGGAGCUCAACUCCAGAACUGCCUUUGAUACUGAGAAGCUUGAGUCCGGGAGAGGUGAGUGGAACUGCGAGUGUAGAGGUGAAAUUCGCAGAUAUCAGGAAGAACACCAGUGGCGAAGGCGGUGCUCUGGCCGGAACUGGACGCUGAGGAGCGAAAGCCAGGGGAGCAAACGGG